rnacentral:rRNA from 1 species
AGGACGAACGCUGGCGGCGUGCCUAAUACAUGCAAGUCGAACGGUCUUUCUAUGGAAGCUUGCUUCCACUGAGAAGAUAGUGGCGAACGGGUGAAUAACACGUGGGUAACCUGCCCAUAAGAGGGGGGAUAACAUCCGGAAACGGGUGCUAAUACCGCAUAGUUUUCUUGAUCGCAUGAUCGGGAAAGGAAAGACGGCCUUUGUGCUGUCGCUUAUGGAUGGACCCGCGGCGUAUUAGUUAGUUGGUGAGGUAACGGCUCACCAAGACGAUGAUACGUAGCCGACCUGAGGGGGUGAUCGGCCACAUUGGGACUGAGACACGGCCCAAACUCCUACGGGAGGCAGCAGUAGGGAAUCUUCCGCAAUGGACGAAAGUCUGACGGAGCAACGCCGCGUGAGUGAAGAAAGGUUUUCGGAUCGUAAAACUCUGUUGUCAGAGAAGAACAAGUUGGAGAGUAACUGCUCCAGCCUUGACGGUAUCUGACCAGAAAGCCACGGCUAACUACGUGCCAGCAGCGGC